UACGUAGGGUGCGAGCGUUAAUCGGAAUUACUGGGCGUAAAGCGCGUGUAGGCGGCCCGGUAAGUCCGCUGUGAAAGUCCAGGGCUCAACCCUGGAAUGCCGGUGGAUACUGUCGGGCUCGAGUCCGGAAGGGGCGAGUGGAAUUCCUGGUGUAGCGGUGAAAUGCGUAGAUAUCGAGAGGAACACCGGUGGCGAAGGCGGCCAACUGGACGAAUACUGACGCUGAGACUCGAAAGCGUGGGGAGCAAACAGG
rnacentral:rRNA from 1 species